GGGGAAUUGUUCGCAAUGGGCGCAAGCCUGACGACGCAACGCCGCGUGGGGGAUGAAGGUCUUCGGAUCGUAAACCCCUGUUGGGUGGGACGAACAUUUUCGUGGUGAACAGCCACGGGAACUGACGGUACCACCUGAGGAAGCCCCGGCCAACUACGUGCCAGCAGCCGCGGUAAUACGUAGGGUGCAAGCGUUGUCCGGAAUUAUUGGGCGUAAAGAGCUCGUAGGCGGUCUGUCGCGUCGGCUGUGAAAUCCCGGAGCUCAACUCCGGGUCUGCAGUCGAUACGGGCAAACUGGAGUACUGCAGGGGAGACUGGAAUUCCUGGUGUAGCGGUGAAAUGCGCAGAUAUCAGGAGGAACACCGGUGGCGAAGGCGGGUCUCUGGGCAGUAACUGACGCUGAGGAGCGAAAGCGUGGGGAGCGAAC
rnacentral:rRNA from 1 species